AUUGAACGCUGGCGGCAGGCCUAACACAUGCAAGUCGAGCGGAUGAAGGGAGCUUGCUCCUGGAUUCAGCGGCGGACGGGUGCGUAAUGCCUAGGAAUCUGCCUGGUAGUGGGGGAUAACGUCCGGAAACGGGCGCUAAUACCGCAUACGUCCUGAGGGAGAAAGUGGGGGAUCUUCGGACCUCACGCUAUCAGAUGCGCCUAGGUCGGAUUAGCUAGUUGGUGGGGUAAAGGCCUACCAAGGCGACGAUCCGUAACUGGUCUGAGAGGAUGAUCAGUCACACUGGAACUGAGACACGGUCCAGACUCCUACGGGAGGCAGCAGUGGGGAAUAUUGGACAAUGGGCGAAAGCCUGAUCCAGCCAUGCCGCGUGUGUGAAGAAGGUCUUCGGAUUGUAAAGCACUUUAAGUUGGGAGGAAGGGCAGUAAGUUAAUACCUUGCUGUUUUGACGUUACCAACAGAAUAAGCACCGGCUAACUUCGUG
rnacentral:rRNA from 1 species